CUAAAGGCUCUUUUCAGAGCCACCUACAGUUUCUAAUGGGCUGCA
rfam:Ictidomys tridecemlineatus contig091222, whole genome shotgun sequence.